AUGAACCCCCAGCACUCGGUGAGCCUUUGUCUUUCUCUCGCCGUCGCUGGAGUGUUUUCAGAUAGAGAACCAGGUCUGAAAACAUCCCUGUGGAAACAGCAGCCAUUUUUUUUUAGGACCAGGACACGAAGGAUGGUGAUGUUUUCCUUACAUCAGGUUGCGAGACCUUGCCAAGGAUCUCUACUUAUGUCUCUGUUUGAUGGAAGAGAGAGGGGCUGGUGGUCCAAUUGCUGUGAGACACUCACACAGAUAAAAGGGCAUGGCCACCACUCUGUCACAGACUGCUGACUCAGCAAAAGCUUGGCAGAUGUGCCGGGGGGUGAAACUUUGAAGGCGGAGGAGCGCGGCCGUAGCUUCUCUCCCACGGAGUGUGGUUAUUCCCGGAGGAGAAGUCCCAUCAGCCGGUCGCCGGAGCUCUGGAGUUCCUUAGCCAUUACUUACAUAAGGUAGGUAAUUACCCUGAUUCCCAGUUAAUGUUUCCUCGAGGAACUCCUCUGGAAAAAUCUUACUAGCCCCUAAAACAUCCAUCUUGUAUUUGUCUUACUUUUUAGUUAGUGGGAAUCAACUUCCAGGAAGAUUUGAAAUACCUCUUAUGGUUCCCCUGUAGAAUCCUGGCUUGUUUGAAAAUAUGCUGCAUUGUGCCUUAUACAUCCCUUUCCCUAAAAUAUUUUACUCAGUUUUCAGUGAACCAUUUUUGGUACGCUUGAACAUUGAAAGAAGACUCUUGUCCUUAUUCUCAAUAUUUAAAAAGUAUUGCAAGGCAAAAAGGGAAAAUAUAUAUAUAGGAUGUCAUCAAUGACCAGGCCUCUUGACAGUAAUGAAUGCUCCAUUUCUUGAACACCUGCGGUGAGUUAGGCCUCGUGCAGGGUGUUGAAGAAACGCAGUGAAUGAAAACAGGCUUUCAAGUUAGGGAGUUUACGGAGAGGAGGACAAGGGAAGAUAUUUAUUGAACAACUACUUUGUGCCAGGCCCCUGGCGUAUGUUAUAAUGAAACAGCAAACAGCUACAAAAUGCCAGACGGACUCGUAAGUGUUCUGUUGACUUGUCUGCUCCUCAUCACAGCUCUGGGAGGCAGUGUUAUUACCACGCCCACUUCACAGGUGGAGAAACUGAGGCGUCAGAGUGGUUGAGUAAUUUGGCCAAGGUCACGUGGCCAGGAAGUGGAGGAGCUGGAAUAUAACACAGGCUGUCUGACUCAAAGGUUCAGAUUCCCGGGGUUCCCUGGUGGCUCAGUUGGCUGGGCAUCCGACUUCCGCAGGGGUCAUGAUCUCACGGCUCGUGAGUUCAAGCUUGCCAUCCGGCUCUGUGCUGGCAGGGCAGAGCCUGCUUUGGGGCUUCUUCCUCCCGCCCUCUGCCCCCUGCCCCUUCCUGCUUGCGCGCUCUUAGAAAUAAAUAAAUCUUAAAAAAAAAAAAAAGGUUCA
rnacentral:lncRNA from 1 species